CACCGCCCGUCACAUCAUGAAAGCCGUUUGUACCCGAAGUCACCGUGUUAACUCGCAAGAGGGACAGGUGCCGAAGGUAUGGAUGGUGAUUGGGAUGAAGUCGUAACAAGGUACCC
rnacentral:rRNA from 1 species